rnacentral:rRNA from 1 species
GACGAACGCUGGCGGCGUGCCUAAUACAUGCAAGUCGAGCGAAUCAAUGGGAGCUUGCUCCCUGAGAUUAACGGCGGACGGGUGAGUAACACGUGGGUAACCUGCCUGUAAGACUGGGAUAACUUCGGGAAACCGGAGCUAAUACCGGAUAAUUUCUUUUCUCGCAUGAGGAGAGAUGGAAAGAUGGUUCUGCUAUCACUUACAGAUGGACCCGCGGCGCAUUAGCUAGUUGGUGAGGUAACGGCUCACCAAGGCGACGAUGCGUAGCCGACCUGGGAGGGUGAUCGGCCACACGGGGACUGAGACCCGGCCCAGACUCCUACGGGAGGCAGCAGUAGGUAAUCUUCCGCAAUGGACGAAAGUCUGACGGAGCAACGCCGCGUGAGCGAAGAAGGCCUUCGGGUCGUAAAGCUCUGUUGUUAGGGAAGAACAAGUACGAGAGUAACUGCUCGUACCUUGACGGUACCUAACCAGAAAGCCACGGCUAACUACGUACCAGCCGCCGCUGUAAGAC